AGUAAAUACAAAGGUAUCUUUCAUUUUUUUCUUCUCUCUUUCAAAAAUUUUAGAUCUAGGGUUUUUCUUUCAUUCAAUCUUCAAAUAAACAGUUUAGUGGUGUGAGUUCUAGAGUGUUUUUCCAUCCUUUCAUUUUAUUAGAGUUGUCGUGACUUGUGUCCAAUGGAUAACUUCUCAAGUUCUCAUAACUUUGUCAAAUCACAUGAGAAGGUGUUAUUUGAUAGGCUUGGUCUGGUGACUAUAUCAGCGUUAGGAACUUCGUUUCUACUUAGAAGUCUUCAAACAAUCAAUCUGAAGUUGACAAAGGACAAUUAUUGUUACUAAAGAGCUCAGGCGUUGCAUUCAGUAGCUACUGUUGAAUUGGAAGAUCAUCUCAUGAGCUUCUCCGAAGACAUCGAAGGGUAAAUGUGCUGUGGAUCAGGGUAACCCUUGGUGAUGAAGAGGUACAAGAUAUGAACCUGAAAUUUUGAUUACUAUUACCUUGCAACAAAUACAGAUGGUAGAUUUAUUUGUAAACUUGAAUAACAAUUGAUGUGUGAUUUUUGGAUGAUCUAGUUAUGUAUUGGGAUCUAUCUUAUUUUAGAUGAUCUAGUUAUGUGUUGUGGAUCAUACUUUCGAUGAUCUAUCAUAUUUUAGAUGGCAAGCAAGGUCUGAAUUUAAAACAGUUAUUGAUACAACAUUAGCUCUUUAGGAUGUUACAAUUCAUGAAUAAAAGAGUCACUAUUCUUGUUUUGUUAA